UUCCCUCUUUAGCCUGGUGCCAGUUGCCAGAACCGUCAAGAGAACAAGACGGGAAGGAGACUCCCUAUGGAGGUAGCCGCUUGGGAGUUUCCGGUUACCCAUAAAAAUUUGAAAGCAAUUUUAGGCACUAGUGGGUUUCAAGUUUAAUCAAAUCGGAGGUAAACUAUUUCUUUGUUUGAAAUCAAUUAUGAAGGUACGAGAGGUUGUUUCUGUGUGUUUUUAGUUUUUUCAUUUUGUAUUAAACGCCAUAUGUGCGUGUUAAUGUGUAUACUUCUUACACUCGGUUUGGGCGUAAAUUGUAAGUUUGGUAUGUUCAUAAUCAGACCAAUCGUGAUGAGAAGCGGUUGACGAAGAAGCAAAACUUACUACAAUGCAGAUCAUCAUUAAUAUAACUUGGUUGCAGUCGCUAGAUACCUCAUUGUCACACAAAAUUGGAUAGAUCAUCAUUAUGGAGUUUUGAUUCUUUCAAACAAAUGAGAUGUUGUGGAGCCUGGGUUCUUUUAAAACCAUUCAUCCUUAGUAUUAAUGUUUUAUUAAGAGUGAUGUGCUAAUUUAUUAGUACCGGUGCAACGGGUCGAAGGAAUGAAUAACAAAGUUGGGUAGAAUGAAACAAGAGAGAAGUAUGCUAUGAUGGAGAAAAUUGAAGAAAAGUGAAGUUGCAUGCUUAAGUGAAUGAGAGAUUGUGAUUGUUGUUAAAUAGCAUUUGCCAUAAAAGUUUAUAGCAAGUUAAAAUAUGGUUUUAUGUUAGUAAACAAAUUAUUACGAAUAUUAAUUGUAUUGCUUU
rnacentral:lncRNA from 1 species